AUUGAACGCUGGCGGCAGGCCUAACACAUGCAAGUCGAACGGUAACAGGAAGAAGCUUGCUUCUUUGCUGACGAGUGGCGGACGGGUGAGUAAUGUCUGGGAAACUGCCUGAUGGAGGGGGAUAACUACUGGAAACGGUAGCUAAUACCGCAUAACGUCGCAAGACCAAAGAGGGGGACCUUCGGGCCUCUUGCCAUCGGAUGUGCCCAGAUGGGAUUAGCUAGUAGGUGGGGUAACGGCUCACCUAGGCGACGAUCCCUAGCUGGUCUGAGAGGAUGACCAGCCACACUGGAACUGAGACACGGUCCAGACUCCUACGGGAGGCAGCAGUGGGGAAUAUUGCACAAUGGGCGCAAGCCUGAUGCAGCCAUGCCGCGUGUAUGAAGAAGGCCUUCGGGUUGUAAAGUACUUUCAGCGGGGAGGAAGGGAGUAAAGUUAAUACCUUUACUCAUUGACGUUACCCGCAGAAGAAGCACCGGCUAACUCCGUGCCAGCAGCCGCGGUAAUACGGAGGGUGCAAGCGUUAAUCGGAAUUACUGGGCGUAAAGCGCACGCAGGCGGUUUGUUAAGUCAGAUGUGAAAUCCCCGGGCUCAACCUGGGAACUGCAUCUGAUACUGGCAAGCUUGAGUCUCGUAGAGGGGGGUAGAAUUCCAGGUGUAGCGGUGAAAUGCGUAGAGAUCUGGAGGAAU
rnacentral:rRNA from 1 species